GUCAAAGGCAACCUUAAAUCUAAUCUAGACAUCAAUACAAACUUCCUAAAAUUUUAUUUAUAGUUUAAGCUAUCAAAUGACCAUUAGUUUCUAUAUUAUUUGGAGAAGGCAUUGAUGGGAAUAUUUUUACUUUAAGAAAAAGGGGGAAAGGAGGUGGAGUCAAGAUGGCUGCAUAGAAGGAGCAGAAGUUCAGACCUCUGAAUACACUUCCGUACAGAUCACAAACUGAAUGCUCCUAGGGAAUUGAAAAUCAAACCUAACAACAAGAGAGCCAAGGAACCCUCCUGCUGGACUCAACUCAAAAGGGACUCCAACCAAGAGAAGAAUUCCUUGGGGGCUCAACAGAACUCUGCAGAGGCAGAAAAGAGGAUGUGAAUGUGGCCUAGAAUCGGGAUUUUCUUCGUCUGCCACUGAGUUGUAAUUUGGAAAAAACAAAAAGGCCUUGUGUUGCUGGGAAGGAAAAUAUCUAAGAAGGAACUGGUUGUAUCUAGGAUGUAAAAAUAAUGAAUGCUUAACUGAGAAAAGAAAUGAGAGGACCUAUCACAAUUAGCUGACAUGAUGUGGAUGAAUAUUUAGUAAAGAGUCUGAAAAGUAGCAGUCAGACAGAGAUACAGAGAAGCAUUGAGGCAAGUGACACUGGAAACCUCUGCUCUGUCUGGAAAAGAUCAACCUACUCCCCCAUCUGUAGGAUAUUUUCAAGAAUUGAAGUCAUUGGUUCACACCUUCUGCUGAUCAUGAGUGCUGUUGAAUGAGAUUAAGAAACUGAACCAGGAGCAAAAUGAUCUCUGGUCACACAAGUGUCAGAGACAGAAUUCAAAUCCAGAUUUCUUCUGACCUCCAAAUUUAUCAUGCAUUCCACUAUGCUAGGAGAUCUUAACAGAAGUCCACAAACCUGUUGUGUUUUUUAAUAUAAUGAUGUCAAUAAAUUUGACUCCCCUUUCA
rnacentral:lncRNA from 1 species